UUUUUGUCUUUUUAGGGCCACACUUGCAGCAUAUAGAUGUUCCCAGGCUAGGGGUCUAAUCGGAGGUGCAGCCACUGGCCUACGCCACAGCCACAGCAAUGCAGGAUCUGAGCCUCCUCUGAGACCUACACCACAGCUCACGGCAAUGCCGGAUCCUUAACCCAACCUCAUGGUUCCUAGUAGGAUUCGUUUCCUCUGCACCACGACAGGAACUCCCCUUUUCUUCUCAAAGAUGUUUCUCUACAAUAACCUUUUGCCCUCCUACUUCCAACUCAGGUUCUGUUUACUGGAAGAUCAGGUAAAACAAAGAGUUAUCUUUUUGGUACAGUGAUCUCUCUUGGUAGAGAGACAGAUUAUAAAUAAAUAUAUACUAUCUGGGAAAACUGGACAGCCACAUGUAAAUCAAUGAAACUGGAACACACCCUCAUACUAUGCACAAAAAUAACCUCAAAAUGGCUUAAAGACUUAAGACAUCGUAAAACUCCUAGAAACAUAAGACAAAACACCAUCAAACUCCUAGUAGAGAACAUAGGGAAAACAUUCUCUGACAUCAACCUCACAAAUGUUUUCUCGGGUCAGGCUCCCAAGGAAACAGAAAUAAAAGCAAAAAUAAACCAAUGGGACCUAAUCAAACUGACAGGGUUUUGCACAGCAAAGGAAAACCAUUAAAAAAAAAAAAAAAAGACAACUUACAGAAUGGGAAAAAAGUUUCAAACAAUGCAACUGUCUGACAAGGGCUUAAUCUCUAAAAUAUACAAACAACUAAUACAACUCAACAGCAAAAAAAGCCAACAACCCAUUGGAAAAAUGGGCAAAAGACAUUUCUCCAAAGAAGAUAUACAGAUGGCCAACAAGCACAUGAAAAAAUGCUCAACUGAUUAUUAGAGAAAUGCAAAUCAAAACUAUCAUGAGAUACCACCUCACACCAGUCAGAAUGGCCAUCAUUAAUAAGUCCACAAAUAACAAAUGCUUGGAAGUGUGGAGAUAAGGGAACCCUCCUGCACUGUUGGUGGGAAUGUAAAUUGAUACAACCACUAUGGAAAACAGUAUGGAGGUACCUCAAAGAACUAAAUAUAGAACUACCAUAUGACCCAGGAAUCCCACUCUUGGGCAUAUAUCCAGAAAAAACUUUCCUUGAAAAAGACACAUGAAUAUGUAUGUUCAUUGAAGCAUUAUUCACAAUAGCCAAGACAUGGAAACAACCCAAAUGUCCAUGGACAGAUGAGUGGAUUAAGAAAAUGUGGUAUGUAUACACAAUGGAAUACUACUCAGCCAUAAAAAAGAACAAAAUAAUGCCAUUUGCAGCAACAUGGAUGGAAUUAGAUACUCUCAUACUAAGUGAAGUAAGUUAGAAAGAGAAAGACAAAUGCCAUACGACAUCACUUGAAUCUGGAAUCUAAUAUACAGCACAAAUGAACCUUUCCACAGAAGAGAAAAUCAUGGACUUGGAGAAUAGACUUGUGGUUGCCAAGGGGGAGGAGCGGAAGUAGGAUGGAUUGGGAAUUUGGGGUUAAUAGAUGCAAGCUAUUGCCUUUAGAAUGCAUAAGCAAUGAGAUCCUGCUGAAUAGCACUGGGAACUGUAUCCAGUCACUUAUGAUGGAGCAUGAUAAUGUGAGAAAAAAGAAUGUAUAUAUGUAUGUGUGACUGGGUCACCUCACUGUACAGUAGAAGAUCGACAGAACACUGUCAACCAGCUAUAAUGGAAAAAAUAAAAAUCAUUUAAAAAAAUAAUUUCACUCAUAGUAAUACCAAAUGGUAGUAUACUAGAUAUAAAUUUAAUUUCUAAAAUCACAAUACUUAUUUAUUAUAAAAUGUUGCUAAGAGAAAUUAAAGAAAAUCUGAAUAAAUUGAAAGAUGUUCCAAGUUAAAAAAAUAAAAAAUACAUACUAUAAAAAUAUGUUAAAACAUGAUUUCUAAUAACAUAGGUCAAAGGGAUUGUAAGUAACAGAGGUAAUAUUAUUAAUGGGCCAGACUUUUAAGACUUAUCUGAGAAUACAGCAUGUUACAGACCUGAAUAAAGCACAAAUAUAUAAGCCAUACAAAUAAAUAUUUGAAGACAGAGUACGCUUUUAUCUUCUGCCACAUUCACCACACUGAAUAUUCUCAAUCAACCUUAGCCCUGUUCACUCCAUUCAUGGCUAACAAUCUGGCAUUCUGCAUUACCAAGAAUACCAAGGCAUUUUGAUAGGAUUCUUUCCAAACUCUUCUCUUAACCCAAAUCUCUCUCCGCAUCUUUAUUUUCCCUUUCUUUGCCUGUGACCCUCUCUCUGGGGAAGAAGAGUCUGCUCUCACGGCCAACACUAAUCUUUCCAUUUGUAACUGAAGACAAGCAAUGUAGCGGUGUUCUCAACCGCCAAGAAAAAAUUAUGCAUUGCAGCCUCCAGGGAACACUGCCAUUUUCACAGAGUGCAAAUCAGAAACUGCUGACGCUUCAUAAAAUAAGACAGAUGAAUCUCAGUGCCACAUUGCAAAAGGACAUGUUCAGUAAAGUGUUCGUUAAUUCAUCACUUAGUGAGCACCAGCUUAUGUACCUGAUUUUAGUGUAAUAAUAGUAAGAAAGCCAGGACCCCAAACCUUCAACCAGCUGUCUCCUGCUAUAGAUUCUUGACAGGGCAUAUUAAGGAUUCUUAAUACGAUAUAUUCUUAUAGAUUCUUAAUAGAGCAUAUUUUGCACAGAUGACUCUUUAGGGAAAUGCAUCCAGUGUCUUAUUUUGAUGACCUGGGCUGGUUCAUGGGCACUGCCUGCAAUGUCAUUCAGCUGAUCUAACCUAAAGUGUAGACUGAAAGCCUUAGAAUGACCUCUUGCUUUUUUCCUACUAGGUCCACUCCAGGAAUUUAACUGGACGAUUUUUCGUUUUUUGUUAUUUCUUUUUGGUCUUUUUGUCUUUUUAGGGCCACACCUGUGACAUAUCGAAGUUCCCAGGCUAAGGGCCAAGUCGGAGCUGCAGCUGCUGGCCCACACCACAGCCACAGCCAUGCCAGAUCCAAGCCACGUCUGCCACCUACAUCACAGUUCACGGCAAUGCCGGCUCCUUAACUGACUGAGCAGGGCCUCAUGGAUCCUAGUCGGGUUCAUUACCACUGAGUCACAACGGGAACUCCUGGAUAAUUUUUUUUUAAUGAAAAAGUAUAAUGAGGGACAGCAAGAUGAUCAUAAGAGUUAGAAUUUGUCUUCCUAAGGCCCAGAGAAAAGUUUCAAAGAGCUCACUCCAGACUUUCCUUAGUGCCCAGUACUGUUGGCCUUUCCUGGUACAGGGGUGCUCCAAAGCCAGAGAAGCAGAUUUUUUUUUUUUUUCCGGUCUUGUUAGGGCUGCACCCAUAGCAUAUGAAGGUUCCCGGGCUAGGCUUCUUCCUCUCUCCCACAACAACUUCAUCCCUAUUUUUGAAAUCAUGAUUUCCUGCCAUUGUGGAAACAAUGAAAACUUUGGGAGCCAUGGUGAUGAGCUCUUAGAAAAUCUUUAUCCACUUGACAACAGGAUGAAUCAUUCUCUCCAUUAAAAAUUUUAAAAAAUCAAGUCCGCUACUUGUCCAGAGCCUUAAUCCACCACUAUAAACUUUAAAACAAUUCAUUCAAGUGUAUAGUAAUACACAAUUUGCAAUAUGUUCUUGGGCACAAUUCUACUCUGAUCCUCCAAAAAUCUUGUGACGUGAGCAUAGCAGGAACUAUUAAUUCCAUGUUAUUGAAGAGAAAGGUGGUACAUGUUUUUGUGGACCUGCCAGACUCCCAAAUUCUUUCCUCAGGGUAACAGCUUUAAUCUCCAAUCUCUAUGGUUUUAUCCUCAAAACCCAGCUUUGUAUAAAAUGACACUAUCUCUGGUCAAAGUUGGUUGAAUUAGGAAAAAUCCCAACUGAAUCACUCUUAUUCCCUCAAUCAAUAAUCUGGAACUGGGACAUAAACAGAUUUCGGAGAGAAAUGUGUAACAAAUGAAGAUAUUAGAAAGAGAUAAGAAGUGGGGGGGAAAGAGGAGAAGAAUCUGUCCAUGAAGGUGGAACUGUAACAUUAAAUUUGAACAUUUUUGUCGGAAAAACAGUCAUUUGCGGGGGGCGGGGGAGAAUUACAGAGCUUGCAGAGAAAAGCAGAGACAAAAAAAAAAAAAUGAGAAAGUGCUAAAAUUUCAAUUCCAUGAUCUAAUUUCUUUUUAAAGUCUGACUAUGUUCUUGUCCAUGAGCUUUAUAACUCACAAUGAAUUUUCUCUUCCUUGGGCAAGGCCUGAUUUCCGUAUUUGCAAUCAACAGGAAAAAUAAGAUUAAAUGUUAUUAAAUUUAUCUAAGAUCACAUGGUCAGGUAAUAAGUGCAGAUUUCAAGAAUAAUGAAAAGUCCAUGUCCCAGACUUCUAGCCAAUUAAUUAGGAAGUUAUACUAUGUUAGAGACAUCUACUUAGACCAAGAGAGAGUGAGUACAAAAAGGUUGUGUAUUAAAUUCAGAAGGAGAAAACACAAAAAUUGAAAAAGCCAAGAUAACUCUAUGUAGUAGGUUGAAUAGUGUCCCUAAAAAGAUAUGUCCACCUGGAACCUGUAAACAUAACCUUAUUUGGAAAGUCUUUGCAGGUGUAAUUAAGCAUCUUGAGAUGAGAUCAUCCUGGAUUAGGGAAAGCCUUAAAUCCAGCAAUAAGUGAGUGACCUUGUAAGAGGGAGAAAAUAUGGAAGACAACACACAGAGGAGAAGUUGAUGUAAAGAGAAAGGCAAGGAUGGUGGUGAUGUAUCUAUAAGCCAACAAACACCAAGGGUUGCCAGCAGCCACCAAGCCACCCAAAGCCAGAAGAGAGUCAUGAAAUGGACCAGCCCUGUGGGAUGUCUGGAUUUUAGACUUCUAGCCUCCAGAACUGUGAAAGAAUACAUUUCUGUCGUUUAGAGUGACCGAGUUUGUGGUACCUUGUAAUGAUAGCCACAAUAAAUUAAUACAAUGAUUAAAAGCAUAAAUAAAUAUAAAGAAUGGAAAGAAGAGAAUGAGAAGUUAAGAAUAAAAUAUGAUGGCCUGGGAUGUUUAAAUUACAAUGCCCAUAUGAGAAGGCUAGGGACUAAUGGUCACUAGAGUCUGUUCUGCUCAUCCAGCCUUUAUUUAACAGCUAUGAUGUGCCAGGUGGGAAGUGUCUGUGGAAGAUGCAGACACUAGGAGAUGGCAUUUGCCCUUGAGGAGCUCUCAAUUUGUGACCCCGCAUUGGAAUUGGGCUGUUGAAGUCCAGCCUACUAAAGACUAUUAUCCUAAAGUUUACUUUAAAAAAUUUGUAAAAGACUAAUGAGUUUUUCUUUCUGCUACGGCUUCAUCAGUAAUAAAUACAACACCUUUUUUCUCUUCUUCUUUAACACCACUAAUAUACACUGAAUUUGCUCCUCUACCACUCCCAUCACCCCUCAAAAGAAACAGUGAGAUAAUUCUUAUUCCAGAAGCUUCUCAGUGCAGGACAGAGGUCAAAAGCCCUUUUUGCAUACAUUUCAGAAUAGAAAUCUUUGCAUUUCUAAAUGGAAUCCACCAAGGCAAUUAGGAUGCCUUGUGCACAAGCAGGAAUGAUGGAGAUUGUGGCUUUAGGGGGACAAGUGGGUAGCAAGGCUCCAAGGGAGCUUAAUUCCCUAGAAAUGGGACAGGAUUUGGUGGAUUGAAAGGGCUUGAUGUCAUGGAAAUCUGCAUGCUCCUCAUACAUAGCACCCCAUAAACAAAAAGAUCUUAGAAGGAAAACAGCUGUAUGAAUACCCAUGGAGACUAAUCUCUAUGAAAAUUUUUACAAUAUCUAAGGACAUUCUUCAUGUGUUGCUUUCUGAAAGGAGAAAAUGUAGAUCAUGGGACAUGAAGGGGUUUCUUCAUGUCCUUUUUCUCUUUCACUGAAAAGGAAUAACCUAUAUGAUUUACAGAGUAAUGAGUCAGAUUAACAUAUGGCUGAUUAGUUCAUCUGCAAUUUUAAUGAAAGAUUCAGUCUUCUGUAACAUAUAAUGUGUGUGAUGUAUUUUUGUGAAAUGAACAAUGUAUGUAUUAUAUAUGCUCCCAGUGAUGUCUACAUUUAAGGAUAACUUAUAUAACUUACAUAGAAGUUACAUAUUUAAUGAAUGAAUAUUCCAGGAGGAAUUUGUGACAAAUAGCUCCACAAAAACCUGUGAAUAUCUCAGGAGCUAUUUGCUGCUUCUUUAACAGAACCAGAACAGAGCCUCUGUACAUGUAAACCCCCUGCUCUUUAGUAUUCCUGUUUAUAAAGUGACUGGAUUACAAAAUUCUCAACCUCUUCUCAUUCACUUUACUAAGAAACGACUGGUCCCAUACCUUGAAAAUACAAACAACCUGACACAACAGAAAUCUUUCUUCCUAGGAUUUUCCACUAUAACUCACACUUAAAAAUUUUUUUUGAUCACAGUUAAGUGAAAGAUUUUAAGAUUAUAAUUUCUACCCACAACACUUACCAAUAGCAGCCUCAAUGGCCAAGCUGGCACAAAAGGUGAGCAAAUUACUUCAAAUUGACCCUCAGGUGUAGG
rnacentral:lncRNA from 1 species